GGAGCAAACAGGAUUAGAUACCCUGGUAGUCCACGCCCUAAACUAUGUCAACUAGUUGUCGGGUCUUAUUAGACUUGGUAACGUAGCUAACGCGUGAAGUUGACCGCCUGGGGAGUACGGUCGCAAGAUUAAAACUCAAAGGAAUUGACGGGGACCCGCACAAGCGGUGGAUUAUGUGGAUUAAUUCGAUGCAACGCGAAAAACCUUACCUACCCUUGACAUGUCAGAAAAUUUUCAGAGAUGAAUUUUGUGCCCGAAAGGGAAUCUGAACACAGGUGCUGCAUGGCUGUCGUCAGCUCGUGUCGUGAGAUGUUGGGUUAAGUCCCGCAACGAGCGCAACCCUUGUCAUUAAUUGCCAUCAUUUAGUUGGGCACUUUAAUGAGACUGCCGGUGAUAAACCGGAGGAAGGUGGGGAUGACGUCAAGUCCUCAUGGCCCUUAUGGGUAGGGCUUCACACGUAAUACAAUGGCGCGUACAGAGGGUUGCCAACCCGCGAGGGGGAGCUAAUCUCAGAAAGCGCGUCGUAGUCCGGAUCGGAGU
rnacentral:rRNA from 1 species